rnacentral:tRNA from 1 species
GCGCCGCUAGCUCAGUUGGUUAGAGCAGCUGACUCUUAAUCAGCGAGUCCGGGGUUCGAGUCCCUGGCGGCGCA